GUGUGUGUGUGUGUGUGUGGGUAAGUGUCCAUGAGAGUAUGAGGUUGAUUAGUCCAGGUUUUAAUGUGGUGUGGUCGGCAUAGCCUCAGGUCAUGCAACAGGCCUAUUGUGGGAGGCAGAGAGAGAGGGAAGAGAGUGUGUGUGUUUCUGUCUGUGUGUGUAAUGUACGUGUGCGUGUGUAUGUGUGUGUGUGAGUGUGUGUGUGUGUAUGUUAAUGUGUCUAAUUAAAGGCGUAGGGGAUCAUGCUCCGGCACUGAGCUCGAGCAGCCGCCUGACGCAGAUAUGACCUCAGGCCAUGGUCUAUCUCACACAGACACACACACACACUCACAUACAAAUACUCACAUAGUCUCACACACACACUCCGACAUAGCUGCACUUGCAAACUAAGUGAUAUACAUCCAUGCACUACAACAUCCUUAAAACAUAUCAUCCACAUUAACACACCACGGCGGCAUUGCACACUCUCAUAAACCUAUUUGCAUGAGAGAAAAUACACUUACACACACUAAAGCAAAGAAACAGACCUGACAUGGCUCUGAGAUAUAGCCUCACACACAUAUUUUUAGGAAACAGUCCAUAACACACCGUCCUUGAGCCGGAGUGUGACCGAUGACUGAGCAGAUCAGGGACCGAAGAGAAUCCACCGCCAGCACUGAGGUUUUGUGAAGUGAAUAAAUCUCUGAUUCAGUCGAUAUGUCACAUCCUCAGAUUUAUGAACACACAGUUCAGACACACAACAGCUCCUGAUGCUCAGACUGUGCUAACAUCACAUUUCCCAAAUUGCCUCGUUUGUGGAGGCAGAGGUGAGGAACAGCUUAGUGCCGUAUACUUGGCUCAUAUUGAAGCUCACCUCAGCUUUGCAGCGUGAGAAGCUUUGCUGCUCACAUUCUUUCUAUGCUAACAAUGCUUCUGCAACACCAGAUUACAGUAACGGUGGUGCAAACAGACAAAGUAUGAGUCUUUUACUGAGCCAGAAAGUUUAGAGAUGGAAAAUAAAGAUGUGGACAAUGACAUUUAAUCGUGCAGGAGUUAAUGAACCUUUGCAAACUCAAAGACACGGUUACUGCCUGUUGUGGCUCUUAUUGUAGGGGUUUUAGGAUAUUGUCCUUGCAAGAUCUUGCAAUAAGAUUCACUCAUAAUAUCUGUAAACACAAGCGCUCAUGCUGCAAAUAAAAGGGUAAAAAUACGACUAAACACUCUCUGAAAUGUAAGCGCAUUCGUGCAAAUAAGACAGAUGUGUUGCACUGAGAAAACAAGAUUUAUUUUAGUGUUUCCAUGAUGCAAGAUUUUAUAAUUUAUGUUUUAAAGGGAAUUCACUGCAUGUUUUUACUCUUUAAAGCACAAUUUUAUUGUGUAAUUGAUUGUGCCUUUUUCUGAAGGUCUUCUUUCCUGCCCAGGCUUGACUUAACAACCUAACAAGCCUUUGAACAGACUUUUCAGAGCCAAGGCCAAGAGCUGGAGAGGAACACUGGGGAUGUUGCAAGAAGCAGGGGAAUUGGACAAGACCUGAGUUUUGGGACGACAGUGACAGGCAAGGAAUUCUGCCCAUUCUGUAAAUACAAUUAAUAACUUUAAAACUAACAUGAUACAAAAUAAAUAAAUAAAUAAAUCACCCGUAUUACAGUUGGUGGUGUGGGAGCCUUAAGCUUAUUAGAACUAAACUGGUUUUGGAGUGUUAAACACAUUCACUUUUGCUCAAAAACAGGAUAUUUUUGGCUUAGUGUGUAUGUGGUUUGGUGCUUUUUUAGCCAAUCCUUAGUGGACACUCAGGGAACUGCAGUUUCAGCACUUAAAGAUACCUCUCCCUUUAAAAAUGUUUGAUAAUGAAAUCUGCCCUAUAAAUAAAGAUUACUGUUCGGUUAAUAAUAAGUAUGUGAGCUAUAAAAGUUAAACCAUUUCUUCUCCAGGUGCUGUUAGUUGAUGAAAUUAUUGUUUUAAUGCCUGUUUCUCAUGCUGACUCCCACUUUUCUGCCACUUUCCUGCCCAUGUCAGGACAAGUCAUUAUAUAUACAGUAUAUAGAUACUAACAGGGAUAAUUUACAGUCAUUUAUAUCCUGUAAAACAUAAUAAAUUGUUGAUGGCUCAUCUUGUCCUCAGGGCAUUUUCUAAUUUUGGAUUCGACUGUAUGGUUUCCCAAAUCUGACAUCCAUCCACCAUAACUCUAAAUUCAGCUGAUUAUCAACUGCUGCUCAGGACCUGCGAAGUAACAUGCAUGGAUGUCGAUGUGUUUAUGUUAACAGAUGUUUGUGACAAGUUUCCAGCUGACUUUUUCUCUGUGAAGGUUCUGUGAAUGUCCAGGAAUAAAUGGCCCUCUGCUAGUUUCAUGGCGACAUUUUUUUUUGUUUGUUUUUUUUGCACCAAAUUUAAAGUGGUCUUGUCACUCUGACAGAAUACAAUGCCUGUAGAGUGGAUGGGAACAAUGUGCAAAUUUACAUUUGAAGCAAAAAACAAAACACUUAAAAGAUCAAAACAAGGUUAGUUUUGGAGGAUCUCAAAGUUUAAAACAACAAAGAGUCAUGUAAAGAUGGAGAGGCAAUGUGAGCUGCUUUAGAUGCUAAUUUUGAAGCAUUAUGAUGAUUGUCUUUCAGAUGUACUAACUCAGAAGAACAUGAUGAGGCACAAUAAGACAGGAGUGUGUGUUGUAACAGAAAAAGCCACAUUAAUACGUUAAAUACUAAUGUCAUAACACUGAUGUUGAUGCUAAUGUGUCUCCAGCUGUUCUCCGUUGCUGUCUGAGCUGCAGAGGACAGAGUUCUUCUAGAAACACUGCACACUAUCUGAGAUGGAGAUAUUAAAAACACAAGUCAGACUGAGUCGCAGUCUGGAGUUAGAUACAGCGUGACAGCCAAUGUGUGUGUGUGUGUGUGUGUGUGUGUGUGUGUGUGUGUGUGUGUGUGUGUGUGUGUGUGUGUGUGUGUGCGCACAUGCAUGUUUCAGAGCCUUCACCACGAGGAAGAGGAAGGUGGUGGUUGGUGAAGGGCGGAUGGGUUGACUUGCUGGCAUGAAGAGGAGAGGGAGGGUGGGUUGGAGUGGAGUGGAGUGGGGUGAGCUGGAGGGAAGUGGAGGGGAGGGGGAUUGUGGGUAAUAUGGGUGUCAGGGUGCUAGCAGUCUGUCGCCUAAGGCUGUGACAUUACCGCACUUCUGCUCCGCUUCAAAAGAACCAAAUCUAACUGACGACUGCUGUGAUGGCUCGGAGAGUGUGCAUGUGCGUGUGUGUGUGUUAGCCGUGCAUACUGUAUGUGUGUGUCUAAAUGACGUUCGCUGUGAUCUGAAAUUGGGAUAAUGCGCCGUGACACACUGCCUCGUGAAAGGCUCGAGACUGUAUUACCCUACUGAACCAGCACCCAGGGCUCUGAGUGUGUGUGUGUGUGUGUGUUGUGUGUGUGUGUGUGUGUGUGUGUGUGUGUGCGCGUGUGUGUGUGUGUGAGAGAGAGACACCUAAUGCGGAUUGAUUGAUAGAUUGAUUGGCAGUUGGAUAAACAGGUUGUGUAUACAAACCAUGAGUGGAUUCUGUAUUGAGUUUUGGGAGUCUGGGUAAGCUGAGCAGUUUUUAGUGUCAAUUGACA